rnacentral:rRNA from 1 species
AUUGAACGCUGGCGGCAUGCCUUACACAUGCAAGUCGAACGGCAGCAUGAUCUAGCUUGCUAGAUUGAUGGCGAGUGGCGAACGGGUGAGUAAUACAGCGGAACGUGCCCUGUAGUGGGGGAUAACUAGUCGAAAGAUUAGCUAAUACCGCAUACGACAUGAGGGUGAAAGUGGGGGACCGCAAGGCCUCAUGCUAUAGGAGCGGCCGGUGUCUGAGUAGCUAGGUGGGGAGGUAAAGGCUCACCAAGGCGACGAUCAGUAGCUGGUCUGAGAGGACGAUCAGCCACACUGGGACUGGGACACGGCCCAGACUCCUACGGGAGGCAGCAGUGGGGAAUUUUGGACAAUGGGGGCAACCCUGAUCCAGCAAUGCCGCGUGUGUGAAGAAGGCCUUCGGGUUGUAAAGCACUUUUGUCCGGAAAGAAAUCGCACUUACUAAUAUUAGGCGUGGAUGACGGUACCGGAAGAAUAAGGACCGGCUAACUACGUGCCAGCCGCCGCCGUAAAAC